AUAACGUUAAGGUCAGAAAAAUUACAAAUCAUUAUGCUAAAAAAUGUCAAUUCCUGUCAAACGUCGUAAGGUUAACAGUACACUGCUACAGUGGGUUACAAAACCAAAUACAGAAGCUGACAAUGAAUGACUUUAUUGUUGGUCCUACAUGUUUUGCAAUAUCACCUGUUAGUGAUAAGAAAUCUUCACAUAGGCAGUCUGGUAUAGACCCAUCAUGGAAAAAACAACAUUUCUACAGACUUACCCAUGAAGUACUCUUUAAAACCUUUUCUCACUGAAACUAAAUGUACCUAGUGUUUUUAUCUCAAUAAAAAAAUAAAAUAAAAAAUGUAAAAAUUAAAAGUCCAAUAUAAAUUGUAAAGUUUAUAUAAAAGUAGAGAAAAAUUGAAAUUAAUUUUAAAAAGCAACCUCAAUCAGGCAUGCGCCAGAAAGUAAUCUUCAAAAUGUUGAUGGUUUUUUGUAACUGAAGAAGAAGACUUUUCCUUGGGUUUUAUACACAGAUAAUAUGAGGAUUAUAUGAAUUUACAAUGGACAAAAAAAGACUUUUCUUCUAUCAUGUCUAUAUCCAUACAAUUUAAGUAAAUAACAUUUGCAAACAAAGGGGUAACUUCCAUGAGCAUGAUGAGGACAUCAUUACAAGAGAAAACAUCAAUAGCAUAAUAUAAGAAAAACACAUAACAAAUCAAUUACAAACCAACCGUGCGCCGCUACAAAGUUAUAGAGAAUUGUCGAAAAUCACGUGCUUACCACAGCGCUGUCCAAAAAUCCUGGGGAGAACACUGAAUCUUGUGGCAGACAAAACAGGCCAAGCAAAAUUGUAUUUGUAAGAAUUUCAAAAUGACAAGCACCUUACGUCUUAAGGGAUUUUCCUGCAAAAAAAACCCAUCUAAAAUAAAAGGAGAACUUUGGGAAAAAACGAUGUUCAUGCAUAUUUUUUAGGAAUAUAGACAUGAUAGAGUAGGUUAAUAAAAAACGACUUACAUUUAUUUUUCAUAAAAUUUUUUUUUCAUUCAAUACAAAAAGAUCAAUAUUCUGACCAUUAUACGAAAUAUAAUUUAUUUGGUAUACAUGUACAUAAAAAAAAAAUAUCUAAUAAUUCAACAGGAAAUUGAAUACAAAUUUGGCAUGAACAUGUAGGUUGGGAUCGACCUGGGAAGCGAACAUGAGAGGUGCGAACAUGUACUGUAAAAAAAUAUGGAAGACUAUCAACAACGGACCUGAUACCAUUUGGAUGCCUCUUGUAGUUUAAUUUGGAAUCUGGAGCCAUACCCCCAAAAUCACACUCACUUAUAUUCUUGUCUGACCUCUUUCUAUUUUCCACCCCACUUGUGCACCUGGAUACCCAGUUACAUUUGCAUUUGUUGUCAAGCCUGUGACUUUUGACCCACAAGGGAGACAUAUCAAU
rnacentral:lncRNA from 1 species